GAGUGGGAGUAUUCGUGCUUCUCAUUCCAAGUCCUUCUGGCUUCUAGAAUUGUAAAGGCCAGCAGUCAGCCCUUUCGGCGCAAAGGGAAGGAAUCUGCGGGAAUUCUUGUGGAAGGAGAGAAGACACUAACGAGGUAACGAGGAAAGAUGUUUUCUAAAAGAGCUUCGUGUCUGGAAGAGGGUGACCGAGAAGGGGGCUUGGGAAGAGGGGUCAGGGCCCGCAGGAUGGGAAGGGGGUGAGAGUGAGUUUAUGUAAAGUGGAAGGUUCUGAAGGAAGAGAGCCAGAGAGGCAAUCCACCCACGAGAACUGGGAGGAGGAGGAGAGAUGGAGAAGACGAGCUGAUGAAUACUUUGAACCCGAGCCAAGAAAAUUGAGUAAUGAGAAACCAUGGCACUUGUGACUUAUUGUGCAUGCAGAUUCUAUGUAGCUUUGGGCAGUGAGAGGGAAUUUCAGAGUCUAAAGUCACUUGUGUGUGCAGCUGUCUUGGUGUACGAGGAUGAACUGGAAAAUCAAAUAUGAGAUAUGUGGUGUGCAUGUGUGUGUGUUGCUCUGAAGACCCUAAAGGAGAAUCCCCUCCUGCCACUGCAGCCCCUCCUGGGGACCCAGGGUCUGCCCCCCCCCCCCCCCCCCGCUGUCAUGCAACACUGGACUGGAGCCACCUUUCCAGGUGGUCAUCCAAGACAGAUCCUAUUUGUAGCCCUCCGUUCCCCUGGUUCCAGAGACUUCCUGGGGGGGGGGAGGGUUAUCUUCUCAUCCACAGGCCUUUCCUCUGAGUACAAAGUCACAGUACUGUGACAUACACUGUGUUGUAAAUCUCAGUAGGGUAUAAAUGGAGCAGCAUGAGUGAAAGGGAUUUUCAGCUGAGAUCAAAGGCCAGGUAGCAGGACAGAUGGGACAUCAACAACUACCGGUCAUCUCUUGGUCCCUUCCUCUGGUCCAUGACCUGCAAUUUCACUGGCCCUCCUUGCUAUUCCUCAAACACCCUGUGCACCUGCUGUCUUUGCCUGAAGGCUCUGACCCUGCACAUCGAGGGACUUGGAGAUCUCCUUUAUCUAAAUUGUCUCCUGCACCAUGUCACCCACUUUAAACUUUUUUAUGGCAUUUACUACUACCUGAGCCUAUCUAGGGUAUCUUUUGUGUUUCCUACAAGGGAGUUUUCUGCCGUAGGUACUUGUUUAGCUGACUUCCCCAGCCCUCCUAUUCCAUAUAAUCAUGAAGAUAGCCUUUAAACAGUAAAGAAUGAGGGAGACCGGUGUUGACAAAGACCCACCCACAAGAGCAAUGCUUUUUAUUAAGGAAGUAAAUAUCUGAGGGUUUGCUUUUGUUGUGUGGUUCUAAGAAGGCUCAGAGGCCCCCAGGUGAGUUCAAAGUCCCCUCUGUUUACCGGGUAGAAUAAACCUUAUUAUAAUGGACACACUAGAAUUCGCAGACAGAGAGGGCUUGGCUCUUUCUUUGACUCAUCUCCAUAGAGAUGGUCCUCUGUUUGCAGCUGGCCUGGACUCUGGUGGGGGAGGAGGUUAGGGCUGGGCACACAGGAGUUUAAGACACUUUCAAGGCUCCCUGGCUUGCUUUGAUCACGGGCCAGUAGCUGCUACAGGUGGCAGCCCUGGGUUUCUGCUCAGCAGGGUCCCAGCUCUUGGGUGCACAUGUGGAGAAGGUGUGAAAACCUUCUUUCUCUGGAGCCCAGGCUCAGCCAGCAGCCAGCAGCCAGCCCAGGGCUCCUUAGUCAGGGGCAGCCUCAUGGCCUCCUUGGGGAGAGUCCACGACUUCCCCUGUGUCAGCCCCUUACCACCAGCUCCGUUUCCACGCCCAGCCCUGCACCUCCACCUUCCUGCAUCCCAGUGCCCCCAAGGGCUCUCCUGGCAAGGUUCACCCAGCCUGCUGUGUUCGGCCCUCCACUUCCCAACUCCUUAGCCCCAUCCUGGGACCCCCUGCUUCCACCAGAAGAGCAGGGGCCAGGACCACCAGGUACAAAGAUUCUCUGGCAGGCCAUUUAUCUUAUCUUUAUGAGCUGCAACUUGGGUAAGUCACUUCUUGAAACUCCAUUUCUUUAUUUGUAACUAUUGGAUAAAUUCCCUGAUUUAACUCAGAGCAUCUCUUGGCUCCAAAAAGACAAUGAACAGUUUACACACUGGUCUUAUGAAUCGCCAGUUCCCAGUCUUUGGGAGCUAGUCCAGGCGAUACAAUGUGACCUAACAAGCAGACUCAUGGACAAUCAGCUUCCACAGUCAAAGGGUCCAAGGGGAUCCACCAAUGAGCGGUGGCUUUAUUUACAUCUGAGCUUUGCCUAUGUCCAGUCUUAAGAAAAAUUGUUGAAGAUGAGGAUGUUGGCAUCAGGCUGAGCUCUAAAGCAAUAGCUUGAGGGAGAAGGGGCUUUGCACACUCAAAUCACUAUUUUGACAAUUGUCCUCUUAACCCAUACACAAGGCUGACCCAGUUACAUACAAAGUCUAAUAAUCUGGGCGUGGCCAAAUGUGGUCCCAGAGGCCACCAUCACUGUUACACAACUAAUCAUUUCGCAAGUCUUGCCUCAUCAAAACUAUGUUUUUCUCUCAGUUUUGUUUGUCUUUCAAACACCCUGAUUACAAAUUGCAGACCUGGGCAACCCCAAACGAAAGUCUCGUCGUCAUCUGGCUUUGGCAAUUUCCUCUCCAACUAACUGUGGGAACAGAAAUAUAGACUCAUGGGUGCAGGGGGUGGGUGGGAUCUUGGAGGUCAGGGGGGCUGUCCUCCCAUCAGGGUCCUCAGCCAGUCGACAUGAUCAUUGGCUUAUGGAAUCCCUACUUGGUGCCAGAUGCUUGGGUGCUGAAGGGACUUCGCCAAGACACUGAGCAAGAUCCUGUCUCUGAUCUCACAGAGGCAUGUCAAUAAGCAGUUGGGACGCACCUAUAAACACAGUCUAGUUGUACACUCAGGGGGCUGAGGGGCCUGGGGGAGGGAAUGUCACCCAGGGUUAGGGGGUCAAAGGGCUUCUUGGGAGAGGUGGAAUCUUUCCUCCAGCCCCAACUUUCCUGAGGUAUAACUGACAAAACAUUCUGCACGACUUGAUGGACCACUGUAUGCAUACUUGGCGGAAUAAUCACCACUCAAGCUAAUUAGCAUACCCACCACCUCCCAGGAUGCCCAUUUGAUUUUGAGAAGUGGAGUUUUGCAGGGAAAAAAAAAAAGGAGUGAGCUAGAAGGAGACGCAAAGGGGGAAGGAAGGUGUUCCAGGAAGAGCUUAGAGCAUGUGCACGUGAGGGUGGGAGGCGAGAAAGGAAGGAUAGGAAGAGGGAAGGGAAGGGAAGUAAGGGAGCCAGCCAGGGUCAGGGGACAAACUGUGCUCAGUGCUUAUUCAGGGAAUGGCCAGGAGUCUCCAGCCUGAAGUGAGAAGUUCAAGGUGAGGGGUGGUGGGAGUGAGGCUGGAGCAGGCAGUGGACCCCCCACUCCCCCACCAGGAGGAGCCUUGCCAAGGAGGUGGGACUUCCUCCCGACCAGGUUCAGGGCACACCACUUCCAAACAUGGCACCCGCUGCCUUUAAGAAAGCAGGAAGGCUGCGCUUACCUUCCCCAACUCUGAAGCAGGACCUAAGACCCUCGUGUGAGAGGUGGCCUCCUUGAAGCUGGAGGAGAAGAUCAUCCUUAUCUCUGAAGACCUGGGGACACUGAGAAGAAUCUCAACAACAGACAUGGCUGAGAUCCCAAGUUCACUGCCAUCAGAUCCCACCCCCUUUCCACUCAUGCUCCUCCGUGCCUCUCCACUCUUCCCCACACAGAAGCAUGAACAUGCACAAGUUUUCCUGUUUGUCUCUUUCCUUCCUGAGGCUCUGUGUCAGGGAAAGCUUGCAUCAAAUGUACAUGCCUGACUUUUUCUUGUGGCUGGAUUUUGUCCCAGGGACAAAUGAACCUAGCAAAGAGAGAAGAAAGGAGACUCUUCCUGCCCUGCACUCCCAGAGACAAGGUGGUGAACAGUACAGCCGUUAGAGAAUGCUAGGUGAGUCCUCAAGUCUCUCAGGGGUCCCAUCAGCGGACCAUUCGUUCCACUGUGAGCCAGGUCACAUGGUAAGUAAAAUAUUUGUCAAACAGAGCCUGAAGCUGCAUCCAAGAGGACAGGCAUGGUCCCCGCGGUUCCAAGAGCAAUGUUCUCCAUGUCUGAAGACCCUCCCUGCCCAUCCCAUUUCCUCUUUUCAGGCUUGACAAGCCUAGCCCCCCACUUCUCUUGGGAAGCAUGGGGUUUGGAAAGUCCAGCUUUCUCCCUCUUACCUCUCCUCUAGAGAAGUGAGUUGUCUACACCACAGAGGUUCCACUGGGGCAUAGAUGGAGCAGGUGAAAGCAGUCCUGGAGUGCAGGGUGGACGUUUGCACUGACAGUGAGCCCACCUUUCUUUGCCUCUUAGCUACCCACUUUCUCUCUGCUCUUGCCUCUUGCCCCAGGAGCAUUCUCUUUACAUGUUGCUUGCUUUGCUAAGCUCCAGGUCCAGUUACCAGGGUUCUUUUGACAGCAUCUUACUCUGAACCCAUGUAAAUUUGAAGUCAAAUUGGCAAUAUGGUAAGAAGCGCCUCCAGAGUCACAAAGACCCGGGCUGGAAAUGUGGCUCAUCUGGUUAAUAUCUGUGUGACUUCAGGCAAGUGACUUAAUUUUUCUGAGUUUCUGCUUCUUCAUAGGUAUAGUGCUUACAACUAGAGCUUUCCUCUUUAGAUUUGUCUUUAGUAUUGUGGAGAAGUUCCAACUUUCCCACUGAAGGGUUUGAUAUUUGAUCCUGGCAAUAGACAGGUUAAUAGGAGCAAAGGCAUGAGACAUUUACUUAACCGUCCUUUUAUGGGUAACAGGAAGCUUCAGACUGAAGACCUAAUGACCCAGGGCAAACUAUCCAUUUUUAGUGUAGGUUCGACAAAGCAUGGGUGGCCAUGUAGAGAUAAGAUUGGGUAGAAAAGGUAUGACCUAGUGGUAAUGGAUUGAGGGGGAAAAAAAUUUGCUUAGAUUCUUCUUGACCUCCUAGGUAAGGGGCAGGAUCUUCUCUAGAACCAGAUCUUAAGACCUAUAAUUAAAUAAGCUGUGUCCCCCUAGGGAUUCAUCUUUCUUUAUUUUCUCCGGCAAGUCUUACAGAAAGGUCGGGGAAAGUUGUAGCAAUAUUCUCAGCUUUUAUGACUGGCUUUGGAGGAAAUGGAUCCUGGUUUCUAUGACCCACCUUGGGGAAGAGGAAUUCUAAUUUCUGUGGCUUGCUUUAGGGAAGAAGGGGAAGCGUCAGAGAAUAGGGCAGGAGAAAAAGAAAAUUCACUUCAGAGGAUACUUCUGAGGCCUCCGCUGGGGGGUACCAUUUUCUGAGCUCCCAAAAGCAAAUGGCACACACUAAUAACUAUAAAAGAUAGAAGUGACAAUGGUGGUCUUGCUCUUCCUCACAGUGAUACAUGGUUUCACUCUGAUUAGUUACUUGGAGCCUCAGUUUCCCCAUCUGCUGAGAAUAGUAGCAAGGAUUUGGCAGCACUAUUUAAGGAUCUAAGUGCACAGUGGAUCUUGGAGCAUGUUUACUUUCUUGACUUUGACCUCCAGUGGAUCCCCGGCCUCCGCUAGGCCCCUUCCUUCUAUCUUGAGAUGUUCCUAUCAGGGUCCCAAAUCUUUCUGGGUAAACAUCCUGGGAAAACAUGAGAGAGGAUCUUCCUUUUGGCUAUCCAAGAUCAGAGAGUCACACCCUGCUCCUGUGUUAUCUCUUAUUCUCUCUUUCCUCGCUGCCAUGGGCUAAACCGUGUCCACCCACCCCCGACUCUGACACACAGACACACCAAAAAGGAAUGUGGAAGUCCUAAUCCUCAGUUCCUGUGAAUGGGGAAAAAGUUCACUGUGGAUUCCAUCAAGUUAAGAUGAAGUCCUGGGGAUUAUCCCUAAUCCAGUAUAACCACCGUUCUUAUAAGAGGAGGAGAGAAAAAUAUGUGAAGACAGAGACACAGGGAGAAGAUGAUCGCUAUGUGAAGAUGGAGGCAGACUGAAGUGAUUUGGUCUUGUCUUCAAUGCAUCCCAUAGGAAAAGAAUAAAUAGCCCUGGAACUCCUUGGCUGUCAGCAUCUUUUUCUAGCAGUUUCCAAGGGAGGAAGGCUCUGCGGGCACAAUGGUAUCAGACUUCUGGCCUCCAGAACUAUGGGUCUUUGUUACAGAAAGGAAUGCAUUGUCUCCAUUACUAGUUAGAGUCCAAAUGAUGGAAAGGUCUAUUAAUUGGUCAAAUAAACAUUCCUGAAGCCCACCUUUAAAAUGGCCAGUUAGUUACCCAAUUAGGAUUUAGGAAUACACUAUGUGAAUAUGUAUAAGAUAAAAUGAGUGCAAACUGAGGGUGUAGCUCAGUGGUAGAGCACUGGCCUAGCAUGUGCAAAAUCCUAGGUCUAAUCCGGAGCACCACACAUCAACCCCCGACCCCCAAACACACACACACACACACACACACGGUAGAUGGAAAAGGGUCACAGUGAUCGAGAAGGAAAGAAAACUGCUUUAAAAGGGUUCAAAACACUGCUUCUUAAUGGAUAAGAGAAAGCAACUUGUAAAAGUUGGAAAGGUCUUAAAUGAAUGUCAGGACAGGAAGAAAAAUAUAGGGCCAUAAUUCAAGGGUCUUAGGGGAGCUGGCAUUUUUGUGCUGAUUUAAUCUAAGAUUUCAGCUUUAACAAGGGGUAAGGUUUACAGUCUGAAAAUUAGCCACAAGGUAUAACUUUACCCCUGACUUAACAGAGAACUUGAAGAAUAGAGCAAGCAGCUCUGUCAGAACUUGCCAAGCAACUGCAGAAUGCUGUUUGAACAAAGCACAGUUGCCCUGCCUGUGAAUUACAGGAAGAAAGGAAGGAAGAAAAAGAGAGAGCUUCAGGGCUUUUCAUUCUUUUUCUAUGGGAUGUAUUGAAGAAAAGAUCAAUUCACAAGUCACAGACCCAGCUGGAAAACGUAGGGCCAAACAAAGCACAGGGCCACGAGUCGCUCACCCCCAACUUGCAGGAGCUCUGCGUCUGGGAGGACAUUCAAAGGCAGGGCAUGAUUGUGGUGGAAUCCCCUUGGUACUGGGCUUCUGCAAGCUAUAUCCAAAUGUCAUCUGUGUCUUAAAAACCAGAACAGACAGUGAUGGCCUUGGAGUUAUGCAGAGUACUCAGAUCUCUGCUGGUGGGCACGGGGAAGGAAAUGGGGCCUUGCACAUCGGACAGAACCAUCAGUUCUCUUGCAGUGGAUUGUGGCUCCAUAUAAGCACCUUUAAGACUUCCUGGACAUCUGAUGUUUUCACUUACACAGCAUCCCUUCCAACCCUGCUUUUGGGAACCCUGUUCUGAUUUUCCCCUAGGGAUUCAUCUUUCUUUAUUUUCAGUCCCUGGUUGUAGGUGUGAGUACAUGACCACAGCCUGACCAAUCAGGGUAUUUCAUUGUCCUGGAGCAAGGUAGUAAUUGUUUUAGAGAAGGCAUGUGACCAAAGCCUGGCCAAUCAGGGUAGUCCAGUGGUAGUAAUUGUUUACGGGAAGGCACAUGACCACAGCCUGGCCAGAGUAAUUCAUUGUCCUGGAGGCAGUAACCGAUUUAGGGAUGGGCACAUGUCACAAAUCAGCCCAAAGAAGUUUUGUGGAGGAGAAAAAUAAAAUAAAAUGGAAUAGCGUUAUUUGGGGCACUUAAAAUAGUUGAGAGACUACUGUCAAACCAAAUCUCAGACGUGUCUGCUACUGAACCUUUGGAUUGGGCCAGAAACGCAUGAAAGAUGACCUUUGAAAUAACACUAAUCUCUAUUGACCUUGUAUACAACAGACCCCAUGCCCCAUACUACCCAGAGUCUGAGGCUGUACCCAGUCUCUUUUUCAUAAACCAACAUCACUUCUGCCAGCAGCAAUCAUAAUCCCUGUCUAACAAAUGAUGUCAUUACCAGCCCCCUUGUGGCUUAAAGCUAUAAACCCAGCUGCCAUCUUGCAAAACCUCAGAGCACAUUCUCAAGACUGCAGGAAUCAGUGUUGGCCUGCACUGAGGUCCUAAUUGGCCCAAUUUCUUGCCAUUUUCUUUUUUUCUUGACUAGACUGAUUUUAUCUUAGGUCACAGGUUGAUCCUAAGAACUUCGGCAAAAGCUAUUGGUGCCGAGAUGAAGGCAGCUGGGUUGCUAAGAGCACUGGAGGCCUGUGGAGCUGCCGCCAUCUUGCUAUCACAUGGGAAGAGGCAGCCUGAGUGUGUUGAGGAGCAAGUGCUAAUGAGACUGAGCCCCUGGAUCCAGCUGCAACCAAAGCUUUUUUUCUGUUGCAUGAACCAAUAUACUUCUUCCUUUGGUUUACUUAAGAUUUUAGAAGUUAUGUAUCUUUUACUGGCAACCUAAAGAUUUAUAACACAGAUCUUGGUAAGCUGCAAUAGGUAUGAUGGCAAAUAUCAUGGAAAUUUAGAGAAGCCAGAGAGAUUUAUAUGGCAUAUUGGAUCUGAAAACUUGUAAAAUAGGAGCUGACAUGACCAUGAGGAAAGAGUACAAAGAGUAUUUUGAAAACAUAAAUCGAUGGUAUUAUUCCUUUAAGUCCUUCUGGAGUGAGGGAAUAGAAACAAUGUUGUUAGAAAGAAAACAAUAGUAAUCUGAUUCUUCUUGCAGUAUUAUGGCAUCAUACAGACCUAUCCCAAGAGCAAGAACUGUGGGAGAGGAUAGGCUCUGCACUAGGGAGACCAACUCUUCUUCUUGUCUGGGACUGUCCCUGUUUUAAUGCUGAAUGUCACUUGCCCUGGGAACCCCUUAGUCCCUGGCAAAUCUAGAUGGUCAUUCAUGUGCUUUUCUAGUCUGAUCAGGUCAUUUUACUUUUUCGAACCUCAGUUUCUUCAUCAGUAAAUAGGGCAUAUGUGGCAGGGGGAGGGUGCGGUGGGAGAACCAGCUGUAGUUUUCAAGUCAUGAUUUGGGGAGCUGCAGGCAUUUGUGAAGGGCCACCACAGCCACUCCAGAAGGGGAAGGUGCUGAGCACCCUUUUCUGCUGUAGCCAGAGGAGUUUUUUUUUUCUGUGUGUUUUAAAAAUAGGGAUCUACCUAAGAUUUGCUGGAGGGAGGGAGGACCUGCUCACCGAGGGACCUCCUCCAGAAUGCCAUGCUUUCUUUUCUUUGUUAAGAGGCAAAUGGUUCUUAUAGACCAGUGUUCCUGCACCUGGCUUCUCCUCCUAAGAGCCACUGAGGAACUUUAAAACAGUGUACAUUCCUGGCUACCACCCCUGGAGGCUUUGGCUCCCCUGGAAUUGGGUGGAGCUUGGGAACUGUAUCUUUUUAAAAAAAUCUUUGCAGGUGACACACAUAUGAAUUAUUGACAAAUGUCAGUAUGUUAACUAUGAUUAAUAAUAAAUUACUUUCCACACACCUCACAAAUGGCCAAGACAUCACUGUUCCAGAAGCCAUGUUCCAGAACAUCUCAAACUUUCCAUGCAUCAAGAGGAAGGCUCUUUAAAAAAACAGAUGACUGGGCUCCAUCUCCAGGGUUUCUAUUAAAGUAGGACCUGGAAGGGCCCAGAAAUUCGCAUUUCUAAAACACUUCCUGGAAGGUAUUGGCUACAUUCAGUAGCAUCAUUUUAUACCACCAACUCCAGUAAGUUGCCUGGUCUCUUUGAAUUCUGUCAUCACUGUACCCUCCCCUUUCCCUGCCCCCCCCCCAAAGCACUUAGCAAAUUAUUGAUGAAUAAAUGAGUGGAGAAGGGGUUUGUAGGCUUCGGUGAUAGCCACCUUUCUUUUUUUUUUAAAUUAAAAUUUAAAUAAAAAAUUUUAAUUGCUAAGUAACGAUAACACGUAUUUGUGGGGUACCAUGUGAUAUUUCAAUGCAUGUAUACAACAUGAAAUGAUCAGAUCAAGGUAAUUGGUAUUUUCAUCCCCUCAAACAUUUAUCAUUUAUUUUCUACUGACUUUCUAAAGAAUCUUGUGGCCGACACCCUUUAGCAUGUGAGAAAGAUUGCUACUGGCUAUCUAAGGGGUAUUGUCUCAUGGAACUGUGGUUGAGAACAUGGGUGGGAACAACAGGAUUUCCUGCUCUUGGCUUUAGGGACUUUAUGCUGAAUACAUAGAAGCAACUGCUUCUUUCUGUCUUGGAGCCUCCAGCCAAGUCCACUGGGCUUACUCAAAGACUCCAUUUUGCUUUGUUUUUCACUGUCUGAGGCCAGAAGACUUAAUUUUCUUCUACCAAUCCCUCUCUGGCUUUCUUUAGCUUGUUGUUGUAUUUAAGCUUUUAAAUCAAUUUGCUGGGAUGUUAUGCAAGCAAUUCUGGUUGCUCCAACUCUCUAUUCCUGUGGCUAAGCUUGUCAUGGUUUCUCUGCAAGCUCCAGAUGACCACUCUGAUCUCUGCUCUGACUCGACAAGGCACCCAGUCAUCCUGCAUCCUUUGCCUUGUUUGGGGGGCUCUGUUGGGGCUGGAACAGCUGCGGGCAGCUUGGCACUAUCUUUCCACCCCUCAUUAGUACAAGAAAUGUUUCUUGGACUACAGAACCUAUCAUGGCCACCACCCAGACCUCAAGGCCAGACACACCCCAAAUAAAGUUAGAAAGGAGGAGAAACCACUGACCAUCAUUAGCCACUAAAUAGGGGGUACUCGGUCCAAGUUCUGGAGGAACAUUCAGAUGGUUAAGUGGCUUUGCAGCCUUUAUGUAACUGUUGAAAUAAGAAACAGCAUUCAGAAAACAAACACAAAUAACAAUCAUAGAAUUGAAAGAGAGUUUCCCUCUAUUUCAGAUCCUGCUUCUGGGGUGGUGACACGGACAGUCAAUUCGUUGGCAUUACAGUCCCACGUUUGCUAGGAAAACAAGAUGUGUGUCGAACAGGCAGGAAAUAGACGACCUUCCCAACUCCUCCCUGCAGAGAGGGUUUGGUUCUGACCAGAACCUGAGCUUAUGGAGAAAUAAUCUCUUCUAAAUCAGUUCUAUAAAAUCAGCCCAACUGAAGAGCCACGUCUGUGGCAAGGUGCAAAAGCAGCCUUAUCUACCAUCCCACUCAGGGGUCCCCACAGGUCCCUUCUCCAGAGUGACUGCUCAACAGUCGUCGGCAGCUGCCCAGCUAUUGCCCAGUGGUAGUCAGCAAGGCAGGAAGCAUGCAUUUCCCCCUGCAGGGCAGAGAUGCCUGCCAGAGCAGAACUGUCCCCUGGUGCACACUGGUCUAGGAGGCUUGGCCAUGUGUGCUCUAGAAACAUCCAGAAUCUUCUUUGUGUUGUGUUAAUGACAUUUGUGUUUCAGGAAACACCUUUGAAUCUUGCUGACAGGAAACUGUCUUGUUAGGUAAUUAACACAAGGGAGGAUUCAAAAGUUUUCCACUUAGAAACCUUGUGCACUGGACACUUUCCUUGUAGGGAGUCUAUUGGGCUUUCACAACAUGGUAGGUCAUGGAGGGCAGGGCACUUGGAGGAGGGAGGGAAGGUGACCUGCAUGUCCCUCUUAACAUUGCCACUGGUCUUGGAAUCAGGACAUUUUUGUUUUUCCUGAUUUACAAAAUGUGUGCUGUCCCACAGGGGAAAGAUUAUGGGUGAUUAAGAGUGACUGCAAGGAGAGAUUGAAACCCACUCGUGCCAUUCACAGAGAUCAAGGAAAUUCAAAUACUGAGAGAAGGGCCAAGUUCACACCCUUGCAGGCAUCAGAGAAUGGGAAAGGCAGACUGUUUGUGGCCCCAGAUGUACAUUCUCACUACUAGGGGGAAACUCAGUGGUCCUCAAAGUUCAUCUUUCUCAUGGUGGGUUGAAAAAAAAAAUUUUUUUUUUGUUAAGAAACACAAUGAGUCCAAAUAGCUUAGAGAACUUGAGAGAAUCCCUAUAUGUGGGGAGAGAAGAGAAAGUCCCCACUGCAUGGGGCAGCAGCACUCAGGAAUCUGAAGGUCAGAUGCAUUAGGGAGGGAGAGCUAGCAGGGGAGGAAGGGAGUCGAGAGCAGGAUCCAUGUUUACCUCUGGGAAACAAAAUCAUUGGAGAAACAAACCAGAACUUUCCAUAAAGCCUUUCUGUUUACACUUGGAAGAACCCAGAAGCAAAGGCAGUGUUCCCAGGAGUCUACAGGUGCCAUGUUGCUACGUUUGGAUUUUUCCAAGGAAGUGUCUGGAGGCAACAUUGGCCUGAUGUUCUGGCACCAGCUUGGAGAGAACUGCCCUCCGGCCCCUAUUUCACAGGAUUGGCUAUUUAUUUGUUUAUUGGUAAAUUCAUGUUAACAGAAAUAACUACGUAUCUAACAGUUCAGAGUGAUCCAGAAGUUCUUCUCAUGCUCUGUGCCAAUUUUACUUUCUCCUUGUGUCCUUCUAGACCUCCUCCUCCACCUUGAUGGUUGAAGUCGUUUCAGCAGUUCCUCAAGAGCUGCUUUAACCACGAGGAGGCAGAGUGGAACAUUCUUCUCUUUCAUGAUGUCCCAAACAAGUUGCCACAUGGUAGCCCUGGUCUGAAGGAGAUCCAGCAUAUAAGGUUGGCAUCCCACCCAUUAAACAUGGUCUUUGUCAUGAAGACAUUUUCUGGUUGAGACCUCUUGACAUGUUGGUGUUCCCUUUGGUGACCAGAGACAGUCAAGUCUCCUGAGAUUCGUUUCAUGCUAUUGAGGGGUGACCAUAUCUUGAAGCACUGUGGUUGACAGUUGUGUCACAAAGUUAUCAGUCUUCUGUAAUCUCUGCCUGUAUCAUGACAGAAGGAGGAUGUUGUCCUCUUAUCACAGGUCAGUGUGGUAAUCAUAGCUGAACCAUUUAAUGGUAGCAGAAUUCUGUAGGCUUUGGUUGAUAGCAGGUCACUCAGUGCAGGGAGAAUACUCCUUCCCAGCUCUGGUUCUGGGAUUCCAGGACACUGCCAAUGGAACAAGACUCAGUGUCCAAAACCAUGCAAAAGGGGAAGUGUGGAUCCAUUAAAAAGAAACUGGAAGAAAAGAAACUGGAUUCGUCUUGAGUUGUAACCCCAAGGUGGCUGUAAUUUUUCCUGCACGGUUUCCCAGCAAACUAUAAAUAAAUCAAACCAUCAGAAUGGCAUAUGGAGCUUUACAACUGGACCCUGGCACCAGGAAUGUGCCUGGCUGACAUUUUCUUAAGAUAAAAAGGUACAAAUUGGCUAAGAUAAAGUCAUUUUUCCAUAUAUGUGUAUAUUCUUUUCUUAGCCAAAUUGCAGGGAUCCACUUGAACUUCACCCCUGCCACCCAGCCCGGAGCUUCUCAGUAAGUCCCCUAAUAAGUUGCCCUCUGUGCCAUCCUGGAUCUGUCUGCCUCUUCAGUCUCAUGGCACCUGGGGCCAGUUCUCCUUCCGUGGGACCAGGUUGUUCCAGAACACUCCCUUAGGACAAGGAAAGUGUGACAUACAAGGAAGGAGAAAUCACUGGAGGCUGGAGUGGGCUGGGGUGUUCAAGAGAAGAUGUCAAGAAAAUGCAGGUAUGUGAGCUAAGCCUGGUAUGCCGUGGUGGGGAGAGAAAUUCAUUGGAGCAUUGCAGAAGCACUGAUAUCCAGGGAGGUGCAUUAGGAAACAAAAAUGUUUUCAUGAAUCAUGUGAUGCUGGCUGCUGGACUGAAUUCUUAUGUAUGUGCCAAAUUUUCAUGUUGAAACUUGACCCCCAAUGUAGCGAUAAUAGGAGGCAGCACCUUUGGAAGGUGACUGGAUCAUGAAGGUAGAAUCCUCAUGAAUGGGAUCAGUGUCCGUAUAAAAAUGACCUCCCAGAACUUUCUUGCCCCCUCCCUGCCAUGUGAGGGUACAAUGACAAGGCAGCACCUGCAGGUCUGGAAGAUGGACCUCACCAGAAUGCAACCAAGCUGGCACCCUGAUCUUGGACUUGUAGUCUCCACAACUGUGAGAAAUAAAUUUGUUGUUUGUAAGCCACCCAGACUUGGGUACUUUGUGAUAGCAUCACUCUGCUUUUAUCUCUCAUCUCUUACUUUUCCUCUUUCCCGUGUGUUUUGCCUCUUGCUUCUCCUUUGCACAUCUUAAGUCAUUCAGCAGUGACCAGAGGCCCAGCUAUCA
rnacentral:lncRNA from 1 species